AUUGAACGCUGGCGGCAGGCCUAACACAUGCAAGUCGAACGAGUGGCGGACGGGUGAGUAAUGUCUGGGAAACUGCCCGAUGGAGGGGGAUAACUACUGGAAACGGUAGCUAAUACCGCAUACUAUCGGAUGUGCCCAGAUGGGUUUAGCUAGUAGGUGGGGUAACGGCUCACCUAGGCGACGAUCGCUAGCUGGUCUGCGAGGAUGCGCAGCGAACUGAGAAGUGAGCCAGGGUCCAGAGUCCGACGGGAGGCAGCAGAGGGGAAUUGUGCUCACUGGGGGCAAGCCUGUUGCACCCAAGCAGGAUGUAUGUAGAAGGCCUGCGGGUUGUAAGUACUUUCAGCGAGAAGGCGUUACUCGCAGAAGAAGCACCGGCUAACUCCGUGCCAGCAGCCGCGGUAAUAC
rnacentral:rRNA from 1 species